UUGAGAAAAACACACUGUACAUGUCCAGCUACCAAAAAAAAAAACAACCGUCCAAAGUACAGAGUCCAGACUCCAGACAAAUGCACAAGAUAUCUGUAGUCUAGACCAGUUGCCUACGUUUCAGAUAGUGGAAUAGGCUAACAUUUUGACCUAAGUAACGCUAACUCGAAACGUGCAUGAAAAUCAACUAGGUUGAACCUUUCAAUGUUUGACUGAAAAUCAUUGCGUCAGAGAAAAAUGAAAACAUACAUAUGUGAUAUAAUAGCGACCAUGCAUGGAAGAGUUGUUUGCAAUGCAUAGGUACAGCGAUUGUAUAGGAGACAAGCAAAUGGUUUAUAAUACAAAACAUCAUUCUACAGCAAGAGAUGCAAUCGGAAUAUAAUAUAACACAAUACAAAUGAAAAUGAAAAAGGAAAAAGAUUAAAACACAAAACAUCGGAUCUCACUGACCUUUAGUUUAUUGAGCUAGCUGUUCCAUGCAUCCAAUCUGUAGCUUCUCUUCUUGUCCUCGAUUAAUCAUCGCUAAAACUUCUUAAAACGCCUCAUGACUUCCGAUCCAGUGCAUCCUCCUCACGGCGUAAACGCAUGCAUUAUACUAUAGCGCCUAGAUGAAAGGUCUCUCCUAUGAACGAUAAUGCAGCAUGCGUGCAUGUACAAGUCUCAGGCUCAGCUCCAUAGCCAGGGCCGUUCCUGUGGGGGUGCCGAAGGUGCGGUCGCACCAGGCCCCCAAGAUCAGAGGGCCCCCUAGUCACUAGACGCUAGCACCUUUUUCUAUUAAACCUAUCUAUUCUAGACACAAAUACGCAAUGAGUGAUGCGCUAUCAAUCAGUCUCGUUUAGAUUGUUAAACUAAUGUCUCAAUGGCUUAUCGAAUACUCCUUCAUUUCAAAAUAGUAUUUGUUUUAGCUCUUGAUUUUUAUGUUUAUAUUCAACUAGAUGAUGAUGAAUCCACUAAAGAAGCAAAACAAAUUUUAUUUUGAUAUAGAGUAUUAUUUACUAUACACAUGAUGGUUGCAUCGUCAAAGAGAAGCUUUUUAAAAUUGAAAUGUUUUUGUGGACUAUUUAUGGUCAACAAUAACUUAAGAGAUGUUAAAUGACUUGGCGAUUCUAUAUAUCGAAAAAAGUUGUUGUAUGAAAUUGAUCUCAACGAUAUAAGUGAUGACUUCGUAUCAGAUGAGAAGUAAGUGUUUUUGGCUAUAUUUUACAUUUGUUAUCUUAUAAACAUAAAAAAAGUGUAUAAUAAUUUUUAUACGUCAAAUAUUUAAUAUGUAUGUAUAAUUAUAUAUAUUUGUGUGUGGAUGGACCCUCCAUAUCGGAUUUCGCACUGGGCCCCUGAAAAGUCAGGAACGGCCCUGUCCAUAGCCUAGCUUCAACCCCCGGUUUCCGAUGGCAAGAGCUUGUCGGCACACCAUUUGAAUCUCUGUGAUGAUGUGGAUGCGAAUCAGG
rnacentral:lncRNA from 1 species